rnacentral:lncRNA from 1 species
GCGGGGAGGAAGGAAGGAAGGAAGUAAAAGUGUGUAUUUCUCAGAUUCAUGUGAGUUUCAUGUCACAAUGUACUUUUCACAGAAACAGAGUGCAGGUAGAAUGGAUUUUUUGCAGUCAUACACCUUGUUUGGUUAAGGUUUUCCCUGCUUAGUGCCUUUUAGGGAGGUGACAGGAGAGCAGAAAUGGGCUAUGUGAAAUUAUGCUAUGCUAUUCCUCAGAUACGAUAUUCAUGUGAAUUAUUUUAAAUCUUCAUUUGCAGGAUCUCAAAUGUUAGGGAAACAAUCCAGACACACUUGGUUUCUCAUCUGAACGAAAUCAUAAUUAUGAGCUCAUACUUUUUGUCUGCCUGCCUACCAGUCUGUCUCUUGCCUGCUCCAUUCCUCCCACUCUCUGCUGUAAGCCACUGGUGAAUUUCAGCUAAAUCAAGAGUGAAAUGUAGAACAUAAAAUAACGCAGUUCCUGCCAGCUUUGUAAGCCAGACACCAGGGUGCAUGAGCAAGACCACAGAAAGAGCCACCUCUCUGCUCAGGGAGAAGUAGAAGGUGAGCCACUUGGUUCUGCUGUCCUUACCCAGGCAAGAGCCAGACCCAGUGGAAGCACCAGCAGCAGGACAAUCCCCAGUCUCAAAGAAGAGAGAAAAUGUUUUCAAUACCUUGAUCUGUUUAUUUAUAACUUGCCAAAUCUUUGGCUGGAAGCAUCCCAAUCGCAUCUCACAGGAAAAUAAAAAGGUGGGGGGGAGGAGGGUGGAACAAAAAAAGGCAUAUUUGGAAUGCUAUAUUUGAAUUAAAGAG